UACGGAAGGCAGCAGUGGGGAAUAUUGCACAAUGGGCGAAAGCCUGAUGCAGCUAUGCCGCGUGUAUGAAGAAGGCCUUAGGGUUGUAAAGUACUUUCAUCGGGGAGGAAAAAACAAACUAAUAAUUUUAUUUCUUGACGUUACCCGAAAAAGAAGCACCGGCUAACUCCGUGCCAGCAGCCGCGGUAAUACGGAGGGUGCUAGCGUUAAUCAGAAUUACUGGGCGUAAAGAGCACGUAGGUGGUUUUUUUAAGUCAGACGUGAAAUCCCUGGGCUUAACCUAGGAACUGCAUUUUGAAACUGAAAUACUAGAGUAUCGUAGAGGGAGGUAGAAUUCUAGGUGUAGCGGUGAAAUGCGUAGAUAUCUGGAGGAAUACCUGUGGCGAAAGCGGCCUCCUAAACGAAUACUGACACUGAGGGUGCGAAAGCGUGGGGAGCAAACAGGGAUUAGAUACCCGU
rnacentral:rRNA from 1 species